rnacentral:rRNA from 1 species
CGAGGAAUAUUGGUCAAUGGGCGCAAGCCUGAACCAGCCAUCCCGCGUGAAGGAAGAAUGCGCUACGCGUUGUAAACUUCUUUUCCAGGGGGAGAAUUUUCCUGUCGAGUCAGGGAUUGACGGUACCCUGGGAAUAAGCAUCGGCUAACUCCGUGCCAGCAGCCGCGGUAAUACGGAGGAUGCGAGCGUUAUCCGGAUUUAUUGGGUUUAAAGGGUGCGUAGGCGGAUUGAUAAGUCAGUGGUGAAAUUCUGCAGCUUAACUGUAGACUUGCCGUUGAUACUGUUAGUCUUGAGUGUGGUCAAGGCAGGCGGAAUGAGUAAUGUAGCGGUGAAAUGCUUAGAUAUUACACAGAACACCGAUUGCGAAGGCAGCUUGCUGGGUCAUUACUGACGCUGAUGCACGAAAGCGUGGGGAUCAAACAG